rnacentral:rRNA from 1 species
AGAGUUUGAUCCUGGCUCAGGACGAACGCUGGCGGCGCGCCUAACACAUGCAAGUCGAACGAGCGAGAGAGAGCUUGCUUUCUCGAGCGAGUGGCGAACGGGUGAGUAACGCGUGAGGAACCUGCCUCAAAGAGGGGGACAACAGUUGGAAACGACUGCUAAUACCGCAUAAGCCCACGGCUCGGCAUCGAGCAGAGGGAAAAGGAGCAAUCCGCUUUGAGAUGGCCUCGCGUCCGAUUAGCUAGUUGGUGAGGUAACGGCCCACCAAGGCGACGAUCGGUAGCUGGACUGAGAGGUUGAACGGCCACAUUGGGACUGAGACACGGCCCAGACUCCUACGGGAGGCAGCAGUGGGGAAUAUUGCACAAUGGGGGAAACCCUGAUGCAGCGACGCCGCGUGGAGGAAGAAGGUCUUCGGAUUGUAAACUCCUGUUGUUGGGGAAGAUAAUGACGGUACCCAACAAGGAAGUGACGGCUAACUACGUGCCAGCAGCCGCGGUAAAACGUAGGUCACAAGCGUUGUCCGGAAUUACUGGGUGUAAAGGGAGCGCAGGCGGGAAGACAAGUUGGAAGUGAAAUCUAUGGGCUCAACCCAUAAACUGCUUUCAAAACUGUUUUUCUUGAGUAGUGCAGAGGUAGGCGGAAUUCCCGGUGUAGCGGUGGAAUGCGUAGAUAUCGGGAGGAACACCAGUGGCGAAGGCGGCCUACUGGGCACCAACUGACGCUGAGGCUCGAAAGUGUGGGUAGCAAACAGGAUUAGAUACCCUGGUAGUCCACACCGUAAACGAUGAUUACUAGGUGUUGGAGGAUUGACCCCUUCAGUGCCGCAGUUAACACAAUAAGUAAUCCACCUGGGGAGUACGACCGCAAGGUUGAAACUCAAAGGAAUUGACGGGGGCCCGCACAAGCAGUGGAGUAUGUGGUUUAAUUCGACGCAACGCGAAGAACCUUACCAAGUCUUGACAUCCCUUGACAGACAUAGAAAUAUGUAAUCUCUUCGGAGCAAGGAGACAGGUGGUGCAUGGUUGUCGUCAGCUCGUGUCGUGAGAUGUUGGGUUAAGUCCCGCAACGAGCGCAACCCUUAUGGUCAGUUACUACGCAAGAGGACUCUGGCCAGACUGCCGUUGACAAAACGGAGGAAGGUGGGGAUGACGUCAAAUCAUCAUGCCCUUUAUGACUUGGGCUACACACGUACUACAAUGGCGUUAAACAAAGAGAAGCAAGACCGCGAGGUGGAGCAAAACUCAGAAACAACGUCCCAGUUCGGACUGCAGGCUGCAACUCGCCUGCACGAAGUCGGAAUUGCUAGUAAUCGUGGAUCAGCAUGCCACGGUGAAUACGUUCCCGGGCCUUGUACACACCGCCCGUCA